rnacentral:rRNA from 1 species
UACGUAGGGUGCGAGCGUUGUCCGGAAUUACUGGGCGUAAAGCGUGCGUAGGUGGUUUGUUAAGUCUGUUGUGAAAGCCCCGGGCUCAACCUGGGAAUGGCAAUGGAUACUGGCAAGCUAGAGUGCGGUAGAGGGUAGUGGAAUUCCCGGUGUAGCGGUGAAAUGCGUAGAGAUCGGGAGGAACACCAAAGGCGAAAGCACUCUGCUGGGCCGCGACUGACACUGAGAGACGAAAGCGAGGGGAGCAAAUGGG